rnacentral:rRNA from 1 species
UACGUAGGGUGCAAGCGUUGUCCGGAAUUAUUGGGCGUAAAGAGCUCGUAGGCGGUCUGUUGCGUCGCUGUGAAAACCCGGGGCUCAACCCCGGGCCUGCAGCCGAUACGGGCAGACUAGAGGUGAGGUAGGGGAGAAUGGAAUUCCCGGUGUAGCGGUGAAAUGCGCAGAUAUCGGGAGGAACACCGGUGGCGAAGGCGGUUCUCUGGGCCUUACCUGACGCUGAGGAGCGAAAGCGUGGGGAGCGAACAGG